rnacentral:lncRNA from 1 species
AGAUGACUGGAGUCAUUUACAUUGCUAGCACGUGGGUGCCGUUUGCUGUUGCCUCGGACUUCUCCCGUGCUGUGUUUUCCCGGUGAGGAAACAGGAGGCACUUUGCAGCCGACAAUGAAAUCUUGGCAGCUAAUUGCAGUCGUGGGAGAUGCCCUUCAGGAUAUCAAAGCAGACUGCAAUACCUGCGUGGAAAUAGAAGACAGAAAGUUUUAUCUCAAUACAGUUAGGGAGAAAAAGAGAGAUGUGGAAUAGAAGAGGAACACAUUUUCCUGCAGGCCGGUAUUGUACAAGUGUUGAAACACUUAGAUUAGAUUUCAGGUGGCAAAUGAGGUACCUUCAGGCAGUUCAUGGAUAUGGUAUCAAAUCACGUAGUAGGGAAGUUAUUUCCUUGUCAACUAUUUCUCAGACCUUGAGACUACAUCAAAGACAUAAUUUGGUGGUUGGUUAAAAAAAAAAGAAAAAAAACCUAAAAGACUCAAACAUUUGAUCAUCUACCUUUUUGACCAAGAGACCCAGAGCCCCUGACAGGCAAUUCUGGCAUCUGGCUAUAACCGAAUGACAGUGUUUUACUUUUGCAUUAGAGUUACUUUCUACAUAUGACAAAAAAAAUACUGUUCUUUCUGCUCUUUCUGUUUACUUCAACGAGCUAUUUCUUUUCUUUAAAACAAAUACUCCCAUAGACUCGUAAAACAUUUAUUGAGAACAGAAACAAUUUAAAGAAAAGCACAUGGAUGUGUAAAAAUUGUGAGUAUGGAUCGCACAUAACUGAAGUGUAGGAAACACUGUUUUCUACUGGUGGGUUUGCAUUCAGGGGAGAGUUUCUUGUUUGCAUUUUGUAAGUUUCAAACUCUCCUUGUGUGCAGGAGGGAACCAGAAGUGGGCAGGGAUGGAUACAGGAGUACAGGGUGGAAGGCAGACUGGAGGAUGGGUCUGAACUAGAGCCAUGUAGGAGAUGGGGAGGAGGAAGGUUUGCAUUUUCAAGAGACUGGAUAAGUCCUAUCCACAUGACUUACUGACAAUGGAUGGGUGUCAUGAAUGUCUCCACCCAGGAACUUGUCACAGACGGCUCAGCUUAAGUAUUUGUAUAUAGUUUGCUGCCGUGAGGAAGAAGAAAGGAGUUGAUCAACACUGACAAUGGAUUGAUCUCCUGGUUUAGGGCUUAUAUGCCAGUGAGGUUGCAUAUGAGCAUGACAUAGCCAGCAGGAUUUGUUUCUAUUAGUGCCAGUCUCUUGCCCCUGGGAGUAGGAGUGGACUAGAUCUGUGCACUUCUGAUAGCAGAACAAAGACAUGGGAGAAGGUUCACUCCUUCCUGGAAGGGCCUCUUUCUAGAAUGGGGAGUAUUCAUGAAGGAGUUUCCCUUCAAAGACCAAAGCGAAGAUACUUAAGGCACAUAAGGGCAGAGGCUGCUGUGAGCGCCCAUCUGGAUGAGACUCACAGAGUCCCCUGGGGAUUGGAUUUCUUUUCUGUUUCCAAUGUCCUUUGUUUAAGGCCGUUAGGCAUAUACAUUAAAAUGGAAGAAGCUCCAAAAUUCCUGGAAUCUUUGGAAAUGAAAAUUAGAGCAUCCCUGAGAAAGGGUAUUUAAGUUUGAGUCUGAAGGGAGAUGGGGUGGAGAGCAUCCUGGGCCAGGUGCAGAGGAGGGAGUCUGGAGGUUGAGCAUGGCAUGACUAAGGAACUGAAUACACGUCAGUGUAGCUGGGGCUCAGGCAGCAGUGGGAAAAGUGGCUAGAGAUAAAGCUCAAAGCAGGCAAAGGCUAAUCCACCUGAAACCUUUUGACCAGGAAGAGUAUUAUGUCCUUUAAUAUAGAAUGAAAUCUGUGUCACAUGGACUGUGAUAUCACCAUGAGAAAUGGUCAGGUGUGUAAAGACAGUUUCUUUGUCUUAUAGAGUCUACUUGCUCAUAGAUCAUGUUUAUGUAUGACCUUUCAGACUUCUGUCAGUUCCCUUCUGGUCCAGCCAUCUCUAGCCAAGGAAUGGGACAAAGAGAUCUAACACCAGCAAAGCUUUUUGCUGUGUCGCUUGGCUUUUCUGUUCAUUCUGCAUUUUACAUCCUAUGCAAAUUCCCUAAAACUGUCAAUCAUCUUCAGAUUAGUAACCCUCAUUCCUCUUGGGCAUGGCUCUCAUUCC